CCUACGGGAGGCAGCAGUGGGGAAUAUUGCACAAUGGGGGAAACCCUGAUGCAGCGACGCCGCGUGAGUGAAGAAGUAAUUCGUUAUGUAAAGCUCUAUCAGCAGGGAAGAAAAUGACGGUACCUGAGUCAGAAGCCCCGGCUAACUACGUGCCAGCAGCCGCGGUAAUACGUAGGGGGCAAGCGUUAUCCGGAUUUACUGGGUGUAAAGGGAGCGUAGACGGGAGUGCAAGUCUGGAGUGAAAGGCGGGGGCUCAACCCCCGGACUGCCCUGGAAACUGUACGGCUGGAGUGCAGGAGGGGUAAGUGGAAUUCCUAGUGUAGCGGUGAAAUGCGUAGAUAUUAGGAGGAACACCAGUGGCGAAGGCGGCUUACUGGACUGUAACUGACGUUGAGGCUCGAAAGCGUGGGGAGCAAACAGGAGUAGAUACCCGAGUAGUC
rnacentral:rRNA from 1 species